rnacentral:rRNA from 1 species
GAUCCUGGCUUAGGAUGAACGCUAGCGACAGGCUUAACACAUGCAAGUCGAGGGGUAACAGGGUAGCAAUACCGCUGACGACCGGCGCACGGGUGAGUAACGCGUAUGCAACCUGCCUAUAACUGGGGAAUAGCUCCCUGAAAGGGGAAUUAACACCGCAUAACACUAUUGAUUCGCAUGGAUUAGUAGUUAAAUGUAGCGAUACAGGUUAUAGAUGGGCAUGCGUGACAUUAGCUAGUUGGUGAGGUAACGGCUCACCAAGGCUACGAUGUCUAGGGGUUCUGAGAGGAAGGUCCCCCACACUGGUACUGAGACACGGACCAGACUCCUACGGGAGGCAGCAGUGAGGAAUAUUGGUCAAUGGGCGCAAGCCUGAAAACCCAGCCAUGUCGCGUGCAGGAAGAAGGCGUCCGCGUCGUAAACCGCUUUCAGCAGGGAAGACAUCGACGGUACCUGCAGAAGAAGCCCCGGCUAACUACGUGCCAGCCGCCGC